GCCUGUCGCCACUGCGACGUAGGUGUGACGCGGCAGUUAAUCUGUUGCGACCAGCGACGUGAGCUCGGUUCGGAAAGGAGUUGAUGGAUACCGUGGCGUGAGAAUCGGUCAGCAGCGCGUCUGUCGAAACCACGACAUGAGCAUGGCGAGGCGGCGGAUCUGUUUCCACUACAACGUGAGCUUGGCUCGGUAACGGAUCUGUGGCUACCGCAACGAUGUGGGGCAGGGUCUGUUGCCUAAACGAUGAGGUCAGCUAUGCUGCUUUCGCUUCCCCAGAUCCAGAACAGGAUGGGUGGGGAGUUCGGGAACGAAAGUGAUUUACAGCCAGGAGCUUCAUUCUUGCCAAGGCGGGCCCAGUGGUUUGGACCAGUGUACAGCCAUCAUAGGGUGAUGAUACCCAGUCAUAUUACACUAACUGUGCUGCUGAAUAACUGGGACAGAGAAACCACUGAACGACAUUUGGUCGGCUGUUUGAGCACACAUUUAAGUGCAUGUCAGCUCAACCUCAAGCAGUCUUUCAACAAGAUCUCGUCUGACACUUCAGCAGCUGAUACGCUGCAAUACUGCCGGAGGUAGCACGGGGCAGUUGUUUCUCUAUUUGCGAUCAAAUUAAUAGUAGAAUUCAUUGUUAACUACUUGAGAAAUUUUAACAUCAUGAAAGCUUGCGUAGAGAAUGAAGUAAGUGGUGGGGUGGGGGAGGUUCAGCUGAAAUGACAGUCAUGGUUGGUGAUUGUGAUGAGCUGCUUUUGUUGUGUUAAAAAAAAACUCCAGAAUUUAAUUUAGAUCCAUUUUUGUGUUUAUUUGUGCUAUUAUGUUUGCUUGUCACUUGCUGGUUUGUAAAGCAAACCUACUUCCAAUUUACAAUACAUUCUUUUGACCAAUAGAGUAGGAGAGCGAUGUCACAUUUUUUUCGCACACGUGGGAAAAUUAAUCAUGGAUUUUGUUUUCAAUUUCUAAUGGAUAAAAAUGCAAACAGUUGCUAAUUUGUUUUGUGGAUUCAAAAUAAAACCUUUUGCAAUGGU